UACGAAGGGGGCUAGCGUUGUUCGGAAUUACUGGGCGUAAAGGGUGCGCAGGCGGCCAAGUGUGUCAGGUGUGAAAUCCCGAGGCUUAACCUCGGAACUGCGCCUGAAACUACUUGGCUAGAGUACUGGAGAGGGUAACGGAAUUCACGGUGUAGCAGUGAAAUGCGUAGAUAUCGUGAGGAACACCAGAGGCGAAGGCGGUUACCUGGACAGUUACUGACGCUCAGGCACGAAAGCGUGGGGAGCAAAAGGG
rnacentral:rRNA from 1 species